AAGACUAUACUUUCAGGGAUCAUUUCUAAAGUUUCUGAUUUGAGAAAUGUGAUUCUAAUUUGUAUGGUCUCACUAACUACAUGUUAGGGGUUGUACCAAGCAGU